rnacentral:tRNA from 1 species
GGGAAGGUGGCUUAGUGGUAGAGCGCUUGCCUUGCAUACAUGAGGCCCUGGGUUC